CACUGUGUGUUUAGAAUGCUUUCUGUGUACAGUGGUUUAUCAAUGGCGGGUUUUCGAUCUGAGAAUGUUUUGUCAAUCACUGAAUCUAGAAACCUCAGGGCUGCCAAGGCAGGACCCAGGAGACAUAUAACUAUGUUCCUUCCACAUCACUGAUGAGAUGGCAAAAUCCCAACUGAGGCCUGUUUCCACUUCUGCCUGGAGAGGAGAAGAAAGCAAGCUAUCGGUUUUGGGAACAGCUGUUUCUGCUGUCAGGGGGAAAAAACAGCAAAUGAAGACUGCAUGUUACCUGUUCGGGGUCACAGAAUUCAAUUCAUCAAGUCUACUUGAUUGGAUAGCAGUUCUUCAAAUGAAGUCUCCCUCAUUGGAUGGCAGAGCUGGGUACGAGCUCAAAAAACAACUAGUGAGACCCAUAACCAAACAGAAAAUAAUGUGCAAAAGGAGUCAAAGGACCUGAGUUCAAACCCUAAAUAUACCUCUUACUAGAUGUGACCUUCGAGAAGCUGUUUGACCUUUCUGGGCCUCAGUUUUAUCAUCUGUUAAAUGAGGGGAUUGGAUUGUAUGUUGUUGUUCAGUCGUUUAACUCUUUGUGAGCCCAUUUGAGGUUUUCUUGGCAAACAUAAUGGAAUGGUUUUGCUCAUUUUACAGAUGAGGAAACUGAGGCAAACAAGGUUAAGAGAUUUGCCCAGGGUCACACCUCUAGUAAGUGUAUGAGGCCAGAUUUAAACUCAGGUCUUCCUGACUCCAGACCUGGCAUUCUAACCACUGUGCCACCUAGCUGCCCUUGGGCUGUAUGAUUUCUGCUCUAAAUCGAUAACCCAGCCUUUGUUUAAAGACUUCUUUUGAGGCAAAAAGAACUCUUUAAAAAUGUUCAUUUUACUUUUGGGCAGCUCUAAAUGUUAGGAAGCUCUAAUGCAGACUUUUUUCCAUCACAUCCUGCUGAAAUCUGCCUUCCUUCAGCUUUACUCAUUGCUUCUAGCUCUGACCCUGGAGGGGGGCAAGCAAAGCAAGGCUAAUCCUUUAGAUACUUGAAGACUACUCUCUUCUUGUCUUCUCUUCCCCAGGCUAUCUCUAGGUCAUUUAAGAAUAAGGAAGACUUGAGUUCAAAUUUGACCUCCAAUACUUACUAGCUAUGGGACCCUGGGCAAGUCACUUAACCCUAUUUGCCUCAGUUUCCUCAUCUGUAAAAUGGGGAUAAUAGUAGCACCUGCCUCCCAGAGAUGUGAGGAUCAAAAUAUUUGUGAAGUGCCUAGUAGAGUGUCUGGUGUUAGUAGAUACUAUAUAAACAUUAGCUAUUGUUAUUAUGAUUAUCUAUUAAGAGAUUUUUAUUUCUAUAGUAUGUCUUCAGCCUGCUCAUCAGCCUGGUUGCCUUUGUUUGGACAUGUUCCAUUUGGUCAAUAUCCUUCCUAAAAUGUGGUGCUGAGAGCUAACCACAGUACUCCCAAUGUGGUCUGACCAAGGCAAACAGUACUGAAUUGUUGUGAGGGGCAAAUGGAGUAAUGGAUUCAUACUACAAUGGGAAAAGAAUGCUGGAUUAAUCCCGUCUCCAACUCAUACUACCUGUGUGACUUUAGCACUUAACCUGUCUGGGCCUCAGUUUCUUCAUCUGGAAAAUGAGAGGGUAUGACUCACGGCCUCAAAGAUUCCUUCUACAUCUAAAUCUAGGAUGCUGUGAUCCUAUGAAGUGCUACUAUGUAAAAUACAAGCUACUACGGUUUUUUCCGUUCUUUUUGAGAGCAAAAGAUAAUCAGGUCUUCUCCAUCAGCUUUUAAAGCUGCGGAGGGUUUUUUGGUUUUACAACUUUUUAAAAAACAAGCUCCCAAUAAGAAACAAUCUUAAUUUGUAUUGUUUCUAAUGGAUUCCCACCUCCUGAGAUUCCCAAGGAUAUCCAGAAGGUCUUACCAACCCUCUUAACAACUCUGUUAGCUUAAGCCAAUAAAGAAAUCAUUUCAUGGGAUAAUAGGUUCA
ensembl:lncRNA